UCGGGAAUUUUGGGCAAUGGGCGAAAGCCUGAUCCAGCCAUUCCGCGUGAGUGAAGAAGGCCUUCGGGUUGUAAAGCUCUUUCGCAAGGGAAGAAAACUUAACCUCUAACAUAGGUUGAGGCUGACGGUACCUUGAUAAGAAGCACCGGCUAACUACGUGCCAGCAGCCGCGGUAAUACGUAGGGUGCGAGCGUUAAUCGGAAUUACUGGGCGUAAAGCGUGCGCAGGCGGCAUGAUAAGUCAGAUGUGAAAUCCCCGAGCUCAACUUGGGAACUGCGUUUGAAACUAUCAAGCUAGAAUAUGUCAGAGGGGGGUAGAAUUCCACGUGUAGCAGUGAAAUGCGUAGAGAUGUGGAGGAAUACCAAUGGCGAAGGCAAUCCCCUGGACCUGUACUGACGCUCAUGCACGAAAGCGUGGGGAGCAAACAGGAUUAGAUACCCCAGUAGUCCCUGAGCGGGCUGGCAAGGCGCAU
rnacentral:rRNA from 1 species